GUCUUUGUCCAUGACACCCUGAACGUGCCAGAUCUCGUCUGAUCUCGGAAGCUAAGCAGGGUCGGGCCUGGUUAGUACUUGGAUGGGAGACAACCUAGGAAUACCAGGUGCUGUAGGCA
rnacentral:rRNA from 1 species